AGAUGGGUGGCUUAGUGGUUAAAGAGUUCUGACUGAACUAAUGAUCAGAAGGUUGUGGGUUCAAAUCCCGGGUCUGUUUU